GAAAUGCGAUAAGUAAUGUGAAUUGCAGAAUUCAAUGAAUCAUCGAAUCUUUGAACGCACCUUGCGCUCCUUGGUAUUCCCUGGAGCAUGCCUGUUUGAGUAUCAUGAAAUCUUCAAAGUAAAUCUUUUGUUAACUCAAUUGGUUUCUACUUUGGUAUUGGAGGUCUUUGCAGCUUCACACCUGCUCCUCUUUGUUCAUUAGCUGGAUCUCAGUGUUAUGCUUGGUUCCACUCGGCGUGAUAAGUUAUCUAUCGCUGAGGACACUGUAAAAGGUGGCCAAGGUAAAUGCAGAUGAACCGCUUCUAAUAGUCCAUUGACUUGGACAAUACUUUUAUGAUCUGAUCUCAAAUCAGGUAGGACUACCCGCUGAACUUAAGC
rnacentral:misc_RNA from 1 species